rnacentral:rRNA from 1 species
GACGAACGCUGGCGGCGUGCUUAACACAUGCAAGUCGAACGGAAAGGCCCUGCUUUUGUGGGGUGCUCGAGUGGCGAACGGGUGAGUAACACGUGAGUAACCUGCCCGUGACUUUGGGAUAACUUCAGGAAACUGUGGCUAAUACCGGAUAGGAUCUCCUGCUGCAUGGUGGGGGUUGGAAAGUUGCGGCGGUUGGGGUUGGACUUGGGGCUUAUCAGCUUGUUGGUGGGGGAGUGGCUUACCAAGGCUUUGACGGGUAGCCGGCCUGAGAGGGUGACCGGCCACAUUGGGACUGAGAUACGGCCCAGACUCAUACGGGAGGCAGCAGUGGGGAAUAUUGCACACUGGGCGGAAGCAUGAAGCAGCAACGCCGCGUGCGGGAUGACGGCCUUCGGGUUGUAACCCGCUUUCGCCUGUAACGAAGCGUCAGUGACGGUAAUGGGUAAAGAAGCACCGGCUAACUACGUG